UACGUAGGUGGCAAGCGUUGUCCGGAUUUAUUGGGCGUAAAGCGCGCGCAGGCGGUUUCUUAAGUCUGAUGUGAAAGCCCUCGGCUUAACCGAGGAGGGUCAUUGGAAACUGGGAGACUUGAGUGCAGAAGAGGAAAGUGGAAUUCCAAGUGUAGCGGUGAAAUGCGUAGAGAUUUGGAGGAACACCAGUGGCGAAGGCGACUUUCUGGUCUGUAACUGACACUGAGGCGCGAAAGCGUGGGGAGCAAACAGG
rnacentral:rRNA from 1 species